GUGAUCAGCGUCGUGGUCGUCCUCGUCGUCAUAGUGCUUGUUUCCGUGAUUCUGUGUUUUGUCUUGACGAAACCAAGAGUGACAGUAUACAAAAAUAUAAACGAAAUAGAGAAUCAAAGCACAGUGGUGAAUGCUAAGAAUGUGAAUCUGCCAGGUAAUAUGGGUCCAUUUUUACCACCACAAGAAAACAACACUGAUGAUCCAGAUAGAGGUAAGUAAAACCAGUUUAUAAAUAAAUACAUCAACUGUUUGACUAGACAGUUAUCCUUAAGUACAAUUAUUUUAGAAUACAUGUAUAACAUCACUGAUAAAAUAAAUUACCAUCAUCUUUUACACUUUAAAAAUAGGGACAAUGACAACAUGUUCUAACAGUCAUGGUC